rnacentral:rRNA from 1 species
GGGUGCGUAACGCGUAUACCAUCUGCCCUUUACUAAGGCAUAGCCCAUGGAAACGUGGAUUAAUACCUUAUGGUAUGCAGACCUCGCAUGAGCGUCUGCAUUAAAGGUUACGGUAAAGGAUGAGUAUGCGUCCUAUUAGCUAUUAUGUAGGGUAACGGCCUACAUAGGCGAUGAUAGGUAGGGGUUCUGAGAGGGAGAUCCCCCACACUGGUACUGAGACACGGACCAGACUCCUACGGGAGGCAGCAGUGAGGAAUAUUGGACAAUGGGAGCAAUCCUGAUCCAGCCAUGCCGCGUGCAGGAAGACGGUCCUAUGGAUUGUAAACUGCUUUUAUACAGGAAGAAAAAGGCGUACGUGUACGCUGUUGACGGUACUGUAUGAAUAAGGAUCGGCUAACUCCGUGCCAGCAGCCGCGGUAAUACGGAGGAUCCGAGCGUUAUCCGGAAUUAUUGGGUUUAAAGGGUCCGUAGGCGGGAUAAUAAGUCAGUGGUGAAAGUUUGUGGCUCAACCAUAAAAUUGCCAUUGAUACUGUUAUUCUUGAGUAAUUGUGAAGUGGUUAGAAUGUGUAGUGUAGCGGUGAAAUGCAUAGAUAUUACACAGAAUACCAAUUGCGAAGGCAGAUCACUAACAAUUAACUGACGCUGAUGGACGAAAGCGUAGGUAGCGAACAGGAUUAGAUACCCUGGUAGUCUACGCAGUAAACGAUGGUUACUAGCUGUUUGGCCGCCUUAGGCGGCUAAGUGGCCAAGCGAAAGUGAUAAGUAACCCACCUAGGGAGUACGUUCGCAAGAAUGAAACUCAAAGGAAUUGACGGGGGCCCGCACAAGCGGUGGAGCAUGUGGUUUAAUUCGAUGAUACGCGAGGAACCUUACCAGGGCUUAAAUGCAGUUUGACAGGAGUGGAAACAUUCUUUUCUUCGGACAGAUUGCAAGGUGCUGCAUGGUUGUCGUCAGCUCGUGCCGUGAGGUGUCAGGUUAAGUCCUAUAUCGAGCGCAACCCCUAUGGUUAGUUGCUAGCAGGUCAUGCUGAGAAGUCUAGCCAGGCUGCCGGUGUAAACCGUGAGGAAGGUGGGGAUGACGUCAAAUCAUCACG